CCAGUUUCAGGUAUGUCUUUAUCAGCAGCCUGAAAACAGACUAAUACACCUCCCCACAGCUGACUUAGUGCUCUGCCAGUGGGUUACAGUUUUCCAGAAGGAGCUGCAGUCAAGGACUCAGGCCGCCUAGGGCAGCCACCCAUUCCUCACCCAAACACCUCCAUUCAAGGCCUCCUUAUCUUAUGACCAAGAUACUUUCAUCCACUCUGACCCAGUACUUUUCUAGUCCUAGACUUCCCCUACUCCCUUCUGUCAGUCCCCUGGACCAUAAAAUGUCAGGAGUCAUUUGUUCAGGGCUCUUUGGUAGUGAGAUGAUUUUCCCUGUCUGAGCUGAUUCAUCUGACCCUUGCCUACUGCCAUUCCCUGGGGAAAAAAUGGAAUGUUAGGAAGCUGGUGCUUAUUUUUGCCUCUUGUUUACACUAUUUCUGUAAGUGAUUAAGGCUUGAUUGUUAACUUUCAGUUUGGCUUAUUGUUCUGACUGACCACCUAAUCCUGGCCACUGGACAGAAAUUAAGAGCAAAGAAAGUGAUAACCGUUUUAAACAAACAUAGAAUAAAUAAAAACCACAAUAAUAAGGUGGUAUUUGAAAAGAAAACAAGAUGGAAAGAAUAUAUUUCACUGGAAUAGCAUGUGAAUAAGACGUGAAGUUACUGGAAUUAGUGUUCUAAGGUCCUUUUGAAACUGCCUUUGCAAAAUUAUAACAGUAAGAAAAAUCUGACCUAGUUGACUCCAUCUUACUUCUAACCCCAAGCUGUCCUUGGUCAUUCCUGGACAUAGGCCAAGAUAACUUUGAGAGGAAUUUAGUUUACAGUUUAACUUAGAAGCAAGAAUGAUAAUAGUCCCUCCCUGAAACUAACCCUCUCCCUGUUCAAUGGCUGAAACUGCCUUUGUAAGACUAAUGAAAGGCCACAAGAUUAGGAUUAUGGGAGAGGCCCAAGUUCUGCUAAAAUGUAGGCAUAGUUUCUAUAAUUUCUUACUGCUCAGGAGUCAUGUGGCCAGAGGUCCCAAGAUUUAUAACUUCCCCAAUUGCUUCUAUAGGUAUCACUGUUGUAGAACCUAAGACUGGGGAGUUUUUUUUUUUUUAGAUGUUUUUCAGACUGAUCCCAUCUGGACUCAUGACUCAGCUGGUCCUGUGGCUCUGCCCACAGGUGGCCUCACUGCACAAGGACAGUCUUCCAGUGAUGUGAUGGCAUUCCCAACCAAUCAGCUGCACCCAUUCCCUAGUCCCCUGCCCACAAAACUGUCCAUAAAAACCCUAACCUCUGACCCUUCAGGGAGACUGAUUUGAGUGAUAACUCCAGUUCUUCUGCAUAGCUGGCCUCAUGUCAGUUAAACUCUUUCUUUACUGCAAUGCCAUGGUCUCAGGCAAUUGAUUUUGUCUGUGCAGUGGGCAGAAAGAAUAAAUUUAGGAGCUCAUAUGGGAUCCACCCUUGUGGGUGCCUGCUUGCAGUUCAUUGGUUCCCCACAGGUCCGACUGACCUGGAGGUGAGCUCUGACGGCCACUUAUUUCUCCAGAACUGAGGGUCUCUGCUGAUGUCCCUCUGCAGCUGUCCUGCCAGUGAGGCACUGUUGACCCAUCGUGCCUGGGCCUAACUGUCAUGUAGAAAUAGUUUCUGGAAGUCAUCUUUAAACUGGUCUGGGGAGUUCCCUUACACAAGCUCUCUCGCCUGCCGCCACGCAAGACAUGACUCUUUGCUCCUCAUUCGCCUUCAGCCAUGAUUGUGAGGCCUUCCCAGCCAUGUGAAACUCUCGGGAGCCCUCUUGUCUGGAAAGGCUCUUCCCUGCUGGUGCCUCCAGGCUGGGCUGGUUGUUGCUCCUCUAUGCUCCCGAGGUCCUCAGUGCCUGCCUUUAUCAGAACAGAGGCCACAGCGCACCUUGGUUAAAUGUACAGUCUCUGGGACCAGACUGCCUGGACUCACAACUCUGGCUCCGCCAUUUACAGGUGAGUCACAUAACCUCUCGGUGCCCCCACUUCCUUGCCUGCAAAGUAUCAUUUACCACAACUACUCAUUGGAUUGGUGUGAGGGUUCAAUGAGAAAAAUCUAUGAGAAGUGCUAAGAAUAGUACCCGCCAUCAAUUAAAUUCUAUUUGUGCCUAUAAAAAUAACAUUUGUUGUAUGUAAUGAAAUUGUGUUUACUUGUGUGUCUCCACCAUCAGGCUAAGACAUCCUCAAGUCUAAGGACCUUGGUGUUUUCAUCCCAGAGCCCCACACCUUGCAAGUGUCCAGAGCAUAGUCAUUGGAUGAUGCUGUUUCCCACUUACCCUCUGGUUUGACAUGGCUGCAGGAUUGGCAUAUGGAAACUGACUGGGUUGAGAAGAGACUCAAAUAGGGACAGACUGGAGAUGUAGGCUUAGAAAGGAGAGAUUUCCUGAAGCUUUAAUGCUGUGCAAUAGAAAUAUACAGCAUCAACUUCCUUAUACAACUAGGCGGGUCAGCAGGUCACCUGUGGCGGACCCAGGGAGGAUGUCCUCACACCGAACAGGUGAGCUUGGCUCGGAGCAUGGCCAGGAGCCAGCCCAUAGCCACAUGCCACCACUUUCUGGCCUUCACUGUGUUUGCCUUAGUGUCCUCGUCUGUAAAACAGGACUAAUGGCAUCUACCUCACAAGGCUGAUGUUAGAACUUUGUGAGGAAACAGUUUUCAAAAGCUUAGAACAGUGUCUGGCAUGUCCUCAAUUGGCAAGAAAUGUCAGCUCCUCUUGGUGUGAUGAUCACCAAACCCACUUUUUUUUACAAACAGAGUGGGGAGACACCACGUCAUUUUCAUUCUUGUUUCAGGAUCUUGGGAAUUUCUGUUUGUCCAUUUAUGCAUUUGUUUUUGUCUUUAUUUAUUUAUUUAGAGUUCUGGUGGAGAUAAUUUGUUAGCAGGUUUUCUGUUGGAAGGUGCAAGCCUUCUUCCCUAGCCUCAAUAAGUGUGUCCCUGUAGGCAGAGGGGGGCAAUAUAGCUUCUCAAUCUUCGAAGACUUCCUAAGGACAACAUCACUCUCAGGUUGGAAAUUCUCCGAAAUCCCAGCUUCCAGCAACCCACAGUCAAGUAUUCCUAGGGAUAUGAGAGGGUUUUGUUCGCAGUCACAGAACACGUAUAAAUGGGGAUAAACUCAAAUGGUUUGUUGUUUUGGUUAAAGUCAAUAAAAGGGAAGAAGAACAAGGAAAUCAAAUACGGGUCCAGUGGGACCAUCCUCAGUGUAAUAACAGCCUUUCCCAUUAGCUUUCUAAGCAACUUUUAGGCUGCUGAUUUGCCGCAGAAAGACUUUUUAAAAAUGCUUUAGUUUCAUACAUGGAAAGAAGCCCUCAGGGUGAAUUGCUGGCUGCCCUACAUUAGAGGCCUAGCAGUAAGAACCAUUAGCUCUAAAGAGAGGUUAAUUACGAGGAGAACUCCCUGGCCUAAGCUGAGGGAGUUACAGUGAUUCCCAGUGAGAGGCUAAUCAGGAGGCAGCGUUGGGUGGCAACAGCCCUCUCCUGGACAAGGGCUUAAUGGGAGUGUCUAAUACCAUUUGCAGUGUUUGGGUUUAUGUGGGGACCAGGGGUCCUUUUGUGUUUGGGUUCAUUAGCUUCAGGGAUUAUUGCCUAUGGGGAUUCACUAACAAGUAGCAGGGGAAGGCGGGAAGAGGCAAGAUGAGCUGGAGAGAUUCAGCAAGACCUCUUAUUCUAUAAAAUUAAGAUCUUGAUGAAACCCCAGACUUUGUCCAGGGCUGGCUCCUUGGUCUAUCUGGAUUGGCAAAUAGGUGUAGACAACAUAUUACAGGAUCUUACACCCCAUGUCAUCUAUUCCAGAUGAUUCUGCAAUCAGCUGUGCCUUAAAACAUGUUCAUGAAAGCUACUCUUGAUUUCCAAGAAACUGCAUGAGAUUUCGUUUAGAAGCCCUUGAAAACAAAGUUUGUAUUUUGUCAAGAAAAGUUUGUUUAGAGCCAGCAACACAAUUUCCAACCCAUUCACCACCCUCCACCAACAUUCUGAGGGCAAAUAGGAAUCCAGGAUGUGCAAAAUUUAGGAACUUUUCUCCAAAAGAGAAAAGUUUUCUCCAAAAGAGACAAAAUAUAUAUAAGCAUCAGAUUCCACAGUUACUAACUGAGCACCUACUAUGUGCUUGACACUGUGCAGAGUACUUUGCUUUGCUCCACGAUUCCCACAAUGCUCAUUACUCCACGGGACAGGGGUAUGGUUAUCAGUUCUGCAGAUGGUGAGACUGAGGCCUACAGACUCACAAAAGGCCACACAAUGAGAGCAGAGCCAGCCUCUGUCUUCCAGUCCUUUAACUUUGGUCAUUUUUCCUGUCCUCUGCCCUGCCUCAACAGAAUAACCCAAAUAGUUACCUGUAAUGGAAAUUAGAACCAUUGUAACAAGUAUUCACAAGUAUUUAGCUUAAGGGAAGAAAUGUUAAAAUGUCUCUCCCUGUGGGUUACUGAGUGUGACACCCCCUGACCUCACCCACCCUCUACAAGUGGGGGCCAGGAGCCCUGUUGUGUGUUGUUGUUGUUUGUCUUCCCAACUUUGGAGUGAAUAAGUAUGCAGAUAAACCCUGUGACAAAUAUCAGGUAAAUCUGAAGUGGCUGUGUGUGUUGACAUUUCAUUUUUAUUAUGUUUUCAAUAUCUGCGAAAAUUUUCAAUAAAUAAAUUUUUCUUAUGACACCUUCAAAUUGAAUUAUAUUUUAAGAAUAUCUACUUCGCUGUGCUGGCACUGGAUGAAAUUCUACCAUUUUGAACUUCUGCUCUUCAUGCCCAUGUGACAAUUAAGGUAAUUAUAUAACAUCUUACUGAAUGAUGAUCUUGUCACAGGUUAAUAAAAAUUAAUGUAUUUCUAUUCUUCACUCUUUAGUUUCUUAUCAACAUUCAGCUUAAGCAUUUUUAGCUUUUAAAUAUUGUACAUUUGGCAAUGUCUAUAAGACAUUUCCACUUGAGUUCAGCCAAGGCGGUAUGCAAAUGAGGAGCUGACACUGUUCUGUAAGUCAGCAGAAUGCGGUGGGUAACAGUCUGGUUUCUGGAGCCAGCUUGCCUGAGUUUGGUUCCUGGUAUACCAUCAUUUCUGCUGUUGAUCUUGGGCAAGUUACUGCACCCAGCUCCAUCUUAUGUUCUCUGUAAAAAUAAGAUUAAACAUGCCCCUGCCCCACUUGGUUCCUGUAAAACCAUUAUUUAUGGAAAGUGUUUAGAACGAUGCCUGGAAUAUAGUAACUCUAUAUAACUAAUUGCUGUUAUUAUCAUUAUGUAGGAAAAACAAUGAAUAAGACCUAAAAAAUUUGGAAGGCAGCUACUGGGACAUCAGGAAUCAGGACUUGUGUAUGCUGGGCCUCACCACCAUGACCUUCCAGAACUGAAGAACUUGCAGUACUAAAGCACUUAAUGAUUACCUUAGUCCAUCUGUGCUGCCAUCACAAAAUGCCACAGAUGGAGUAAUUGAUCAAGAACACAACUUUAUUUCUUGCAGUUCUGGAGGCUAGGGAAUCCAAAACCAAGCUUCCUGGCAUUGGCGUCUAGUGAGGGCUGCCCUCUGCUUUCAAGGCGGCGCCUUGUUGCUGUGUCUUCACAUAGCAGAUGGAAGGGCAAGAGGGCUGAACACUGUAUGAAGCCUCUUUUAUAAGGGCCCUAAUCUGAUUCAUUAGAUCUCCACUCUCAUGACUUAAUCACCUCCUAAAGGCCCCCUCUUAACACUGUCACAUUGGUGAUUAAGUUUCAACAUAUGAAUUUUGGAGGGGACACAAACAUUCAAGCCAUAGCAGUGAUAUAGUCAUGACUCUUCUCCCCUAACUCACCUCUCAGGCCUGUAAUGUUCAUGCUUUUUUCAGUCUAUUAAAUAAAUCAGCUCGUAGUUCACAAAAUAUAGGCAAACAAUCUUAAGAUGUGAAAGUAUAAAUAAGUAGCCACUUAGCAAAAAGUUUGAUUCUCGUAGGCAGAAUUUAUGGGAUGUGUUAAGCAUAAGAUAAGCAGAUAGCAAGUAGAACGUGUGUGUUAUACCGAGAUUGAGUAGGAUGAAAGGACCGAGAAAUAGCUAAUAUUUAUGAUGCAGUUGAGUAUUAAAUAUUUGUAACGUACUAGAUAGACAUUUAGACAUAAGGCUAAACACCAAGAGGUACCAAAUAGACAUGAGCAUUUUAUAUACAUGAUCUCCUAAUUUGGCAACCUAUUGGCUAUAUCUUUCUGGUCCAAUGUGUCCUCUGCCUCCAAAAACAAAUAGAACUUAUGGCUGCUCAUCUUGCUAACUGGCAAGCUAUAGCUGUCACCAGGCAUACUUGUCCUUAUAUCUCUAGUAGAACAGGGAUGUGAUAUCAACCCAGCAAAUCCAUCCCUAUCUAUCUAUAUCAGGGAUUCCCAAGGCCACCCUCAUAUUCAAUGAUUUUCUGGAAGGACUCACAAAAAUCAGAAAAGCAGUUAUACUCAUGAUUACAGUUGAUUAUAGCAAAGGCUAUAGAUGAAACUUGGCAAAGGAAAAUACGCAAAGGGUGGAGUCCAGGAAAGACAAAGUCCAAGCUUCUAGUUGUCCUCUCCCAAUGGGGUUGUAUGAACAACACUUAAUUCUCCCAGAAAUGAUGUGUGAUACUACAUACAAAGUACUGCCAACCAGGAAGUUUAACCAUGCUUUAAACUUGGUGUCCUGGGUUCUUACUGGAGUUUAGCCACAUAGGCAUAGAGUGCCCAUGUAGCUUAUCUUAGCUACUCAAACCCUAGGCCCCCGCUGCCCCCUAGAGGUCAAACUGAUAGCAUAUGGCCCAAGUCUACCACCUAAAUCACAUUUUUAGCAUAAACUAUCUGGUAUGGCCCAGGGCACUGGGCAAACGGUAGCACUCUUAUCAGUAAGGAUAUUCCAAAGGCUCAGGAAUUAUCUCCCUGAACUAGUCCAAGGGCCAGUCCUUUCUUUGGGAUGUACAGGUUUGAACACCCCAGACCCACUGAGUUAACCCUUUCCUGCACAGUGGGGUCCUUCCACUCCACUUGUGUCUGAUCCUAAGUGCAUUAACUUACCCCGUCUCUCUCCUCUUGCGUCUCACUUUGUGUUUUAAAUUGACUUAAUAACUUUGCUAUUUGCAAAUUUUAAUCUGCCUUUUAAUGAGCCCUUCUGGGAUAGCUUGCUUGAUAGUGUAUUUGUAGACUAUCAUUUCAGACUAUCAUUUCAUGUACUUUGAGCUAACUUCUCACCAGACAUGUCCAGCCUUCAUCAUUUGCUUUACCCACCCAUCAUUAGGUGGGUAAAGAGAGGUGGUAUAUUAGUGUGCUUUUCCUGAGCUAUGCCAUGGAGGCAAACAAUACCAAUGCUUACAGUGACCAUGGUUAUAAAUUAGGAAUCUGUACAACCUACCACAGUGGGAUAGAGAGGAGGAGAAAGCUAAAAAAGCAGAUUUUUGAGAGUAUUAUUAUAGGCUUGGUCUUGUUCAUUGCUUCUGGGCACUGCUGACCACAAUUUGCCUACAAGUCACAUUUAGUGAAUGCCCACUACAGACCAGGCACCAUGCUAACCACUCUAGAUGAAUUAGCUUAUCCUCACAAAAACCUAUGAAGUAGGUAUUAUUUAUAUCUUCACCAUUUUAUAGAUGGGUAGAUGGAGGUACAAAGGAACUUUGAGCUUGUGUGCUUUGUCAACAGUGGAGCCAGAAUUCAAAGGCUGGUGACAAAGUUCACACUCUUAACCACUCUGCUAGGCUGUUUGGGCUCUCUCAUUGGUUUGUCUCGGCUACCUGGCAUACA
rnacentral:lncRNA from 1 species